GACGAACGCUGGCGGUGUGCUUAACACAUGCAAGUCGAGCGGUAAGGCCCUUUCGGGGGUACACGAGCGGCGAACGGGUGAGUAACACGUGGGUGACCUGCCCUCAGCUCUGGGAUAAGCCUGGGAAACUGGGUCUAAUACUGGAUAUGACUCCACGGUGCAUGUCGUGGGGUGGAAAGCCUUGUGCGGCUGAGGAUGGGCCCGCGGCCUAUCAGCUUGUUGGUGGGGUGANGGCCUACCAAGGCGACGACGGGUAGCCGGCCUGAGAGGGCGACCGGCCACACUGGGACUGAGACACGGCCCAGACUCCUACGGGAGGCAGCAGUGGGGAAUCUUGCGCAAUGGGCGAAAGCCUGACGCAGCGACG
rnacentral:rRNA from 1 species